rnacentral:rRNA from 1 species
UUGACCUCGGAUCAGGUGGGGAUACCCGCUGA